rnacentral:rRNA from 4 species
AAAUUGAAGAGUUUGAUCAUGGCUCAGAUUGAACGCUGGCGGCAGGCCUAACACAUGCAAGUCGAACGGUAACAGGAAGCAGCUUGCUGCUUUGCUGACGAGUGGCGGACGGGUGAGUAAUGUCUGGGA